CUUCUACUUCUCCAUGCUGACAAAUAACAGGUAACUUCUAAUAGGUGUCCAUAUUGACAAAUUACAGGUAACUUCUAAUAGGUGUCCAUAUUGACAAAUUACAGGUAACUUCUAACAGUUGUCCAUAUUGACAAAUUAUAGGUAACUUCUAAUAGGUGUCCAUAUUGACAAAUUACAGGUAACUUCAAGUAAAUGUCCAUAUUGACAUAUCAGAUGACCUCUUCUAGUUGUCCGAGUUGACAAAUUAGAGGUUAUUAUCUUCAGUAAUGCAUCAUGAUAAGUUACAAGUAACUAACUCCCUUUAGUUGUUCACCUCGACAAAUUAUUAGUGACUACAUCUAGAUAUCCACUUUGACAAGUUAUAGGUUUCCAGGUUGGUAAGCUACAGGUUACCUCCUUUAUAGUUAUCCACGUUAAGAAACUACAAUUGACUCUCUUUAGCUGUCCAAGUAAACAAGUAAUAGGUUACACCAUCUGGUCUUCGUGUUGAAAAUUUUCUUAAUUACAAUUUUGUUUGUUGUUAACCGCAAAGUUACG